rnacentral:rRNA from 1 species
AUUGAACGCUGGCGGCAUGCUUUACACAUGCAAGUCGAACGGUAACAGGCCGCAAGGUGCUGACGAGUGGCGAACGGGUGAGUAAUGCACCGGAACGUGCCCAGUCGUGGGGGAUAACGCAGCGAAAGCUGUGCUAAUACCGCAUACGAUCUAUGGAUGAAAGCGGGGGACCGUAAGGCCUCGCGCGAUUGGAGCGGCCGAUGUCAGAUUAGGUAGUUGGUGGGGUAAAGGCCUACCAAGCCGACGAUCUGUAGCUGGUCUGAGAGGACGACCAGCCACACUGGGACUGAGACACGGCCCAGACUCCUACGGGAGGCAGCAGUGGGGAAUUUUGGACAAUGGGCGCAAGCCUGAUCCAGCAAUGCAGCGUGCAGGAAGAAGGCCUUCGGGUUGUAAACUGCUUUUGUACGGAAUGAAACGGUCUGGGUUAAUACCCUGGGCUAAUGACGGUACCGUAAGAAUAAGCACCGGCUAACUACGUGCCAGCAGCCGCAGUAA